rnacentral:tRNA from 1 species
GCGGAUGUGGCGGAAUUGGCAGACGCGCUAGUCUUAGGAACUAGUGGGGUAACUCGUGGGGGUUCAACUCCCUCCAUCCGCACCA